ACAGUCGAUCAUAGCUGGUUCGAACAAGGGAAUCUGACUAUUUAAUUAAAACAAAUAAUUAUUCAACCAAGCACGGGUAAACGACAUGAGUAACUAUGACUCUCUUAAGGUGUCCAAAUGCCUCAUCAUCUAAUUAGUGAUGCACAUAAAUGGAUUAACUAGAUUCCCACUAUCCCUAUAUACUAUCUAGCGAAACCACAACUAAGGGAAUGGGCUUGGCAUAAUCAAUAGGGAAAGAAGACCUUGUUGCGCUUGAAUCUAGUUCGAAUUUUUGAAAUGAAUUGAGAGGUGUAGAAUGAGUGGGAGUAUUUUUCGGCACAAAUGAAAUACCACUACUUUUAACGUUAUUUUACUUAUUCUGUGGGGCAGAGAAAUGGAAUUUACCCUAUUUUUGGCCUUAAGACACGUUUCAAUGGGUCAAUCUGGGCAAAAGACAUUGUCAGGUAGGGAUUUUGGAUGGGGCAACACAUAUGUUAAAAGAUAACAUAAAAUAUGAUUGGUGUAGAUAGAACAUUUGUAUUUGGGAGAUCCUAGUGCACAACCACCAUUACUACCUUUCCCUCCUAAUUUGUAGU
rnacentral:ncRNA from 1 species